CAGUAGGACGCACAGUUUAUACCGUAGCUUGCUACACCAUAGACUGUGAGUUGCGAACGGGUGAGUAACGCGUAGGUAACCUGCCUAUUAGAGGGGGAUAACUAUUGGAAACGAUAGCUAAUACCGCAUAACAGUAUGUAACACAUGUUAGAUGCUUGAAAGAUGCAAUUGCAUCGCUAGUAGAUGGACCUGCGUUGUAUUAGCUAGUAGGUAGGGUAAUGGCCUACCUAGGCGACGAUACAUAGCCGACCUGAGAGGGUGAUCGGCCACACUGGGACUGAGACACGGCCCAGACUCCUACGGGAGGCAGCAGUAGGGAAUCUUCGGCAAUGGGGGGAACCCUGACCGAGCAACGCCGCGUGAGUGAAGAAGGUUUUCGGAUCGUAAAGCUCUGUUGUUAAGGAAGAACGAGUGUGAGAAUGGAAAGUUCAUACUGUGACGGUACUUAACCAGAAAGGGACGGCUAACUACGUGCCAGCAGCCGCGGUAAUACGUAGGUCCCGAGCGUUGUCCGGAUUUAUUGGGCGUAAAGCGAGCGCAGGCGGUUAGAAAAGUCUGAAGUGAAAGGCAGUGGCUCAACCAUUGUAGGCUUUGGAAACUGUUUAACUUGAGUGCAGAAGGNGAGAGUGGAAUUCCAUGUGUAGCGGUGAAAUGCGUAGAUAUAUGGAGGAACACCGGUGGCGAAAGCGGCUCUCUGGUCUGUAACUGACGCUG
rnacentral:rRNA from 1 species